rnacentral:rRNA from 1 species
GACGAACCGAGCGAACGUUGUUCGGAAUCACUGGGCUUAAAGGGCGCGUAGGCGGGUGCUCAAGUCCGGGGUGAAAUCCUCCAGCUCAACUGGAGAACUGCCUCGGAUACUGGGUGCCUCGAGUGUGGUAGGGGUGUGCGGAACUAUCGGUGGAGCGGUGAAAUGCGUUGAUAUCGAUAGGAACUCCGGUGGCGAAGGCGGCACACUGGACCACAACUGACGCUGAGACGCGAAAGCGUGGGGAGCAAACAGG